rnacentral:rRNA from 1 species
CCUACGGGAGGCAGCAGUGGGGAAUCUUGCGCAAUGGGCGAAAGCCUGACGCAACAACGCCGCGUGCGGGAUGAAGGCCUUCGGGUUGUAAACCGCUUUUAACAGGAACGAAAAUGACGGUACCUGUAGAAUAAGGUGCGGCCAACUACGUGCCAGCAGCCGCGGUGACACGUAGGCACCAAGCGUUGUCCGGAUUUAUUGGGCGUAAAGAGCUCGUAGGCGGUUCGAUAAGUCGGGUGUGAAAACUCUGGGCUUAACCCAGAGACGCCACUCGAUACUAUUGUGACUAGAGUUCGGUAGGGGAGCGGGGAAUUCCUAGUGUAGCGGUGAAAUGCGCAGAUAUUAGGAGGAACACCGGUGGCGAGGGCGCCGCUCUGGGCCGAAACUGACGCUGAGGAGCGAAAGCGUGGGUAGCAAACAGGAUUAGAUACCCUGGUAGUCCACGCCGUAAACGGUGGGCGCUAGGUGUGGGCUCCAACCAACGGAGUCCGCGCCGUCGCUAACGCAUUAAGUGCCCCGCCUGGGGAGUACGGCCGCAAGGUUAAAACUUAAAGGAAAUUGACGG